GCCAGACUUCGGCACAUAAGAAUAGGCACGGAGAAAGAAGAAUGUCAUGAGAGAAACCAUGUAGGUCAGAUCCGGAAGGGCCCUCAGAGACCGUCCAAACCUCAGAUGGUGAAGAUGAGGAAACUAAGAUGCAGAGAGGGAGGAUGCUGCCCAAGACCRCUCAAAAUAAUGAUUAAAUACGUCUGUCUUGAAGAGAGAUCUUUUCUGUACGGCUGUGGUGCAGUGAGUGGGCCCUGGAUCACAGGGCGUGGCUUCUAUUCUGCCUCUGCCAUUUCCUAGUGCUGUGAACUUGGAUAUUUUACAAUGACCUUGGAAUUUCUUCAGUAAUCAGGAAAAGCAGUAAACAUGACAAAGGAGCCUGCCUCACAGCCAGUGGAGCCUGUGUGGUGCUGGGCAGCCCUGCAUCCCGCAGCAGCUGCUAAUGCUGUUAUCAGUCUCUCAGAGCUGAAAGGAAUCCCUGGAUCUCUCUUCUGGGAAAUGCACUGCUAUAAAGUUUGUCGAAUGAAUAAAUAAACAAGAUCAAAGACUGCUUGUUCCUAGGGAAAGUGAGGUGGAUUCAUUCCUGUAACCUGACCCCCAGGCUACACAAUAGCCUGAUGCUUUUUGCAGAGCCCGGAGCUGGUGACCAAGAGGCAUGCAACGGCAAUCUCAGCAAUCUCAGCCAAGCCACUGGAAGCUGUGGGAUGCAGGCAGAUGACCUCUGGACCUUGUUUAUUAGCUCAUUUAAUAAGCAGCUCUCUUAUGACUCCAAUAGAGUAAAGGAUAUAAAAGUACUCAGGAGACAGAAAGUGAGUCAAAGGGGGAUACUAUCAUAUAUGCCUCAUCAAUGAUCAAGUUGAACAAAAUGUGCCUUCAGAGUCCAUUUCAAUUUUGUUCAUUCUAUUCUAAUUUUUUCCAUUUUAAUUCAUAUUCUCAUUAGUUCCCACCUGUAUGUUAGCAUUUUAGCUAGUGUUCCUGAUUCUAGUUUGGCUUUCCUAUAUGUUUGUGUUCUAGCAGAAUGCUUUCUUUAAACACACCUCCUGCCYUGAUACUCCAUCACUAAAUUUAUCUCUAGCUCCCAAUCCCUACUACUUUGAAACUUACAUUUUUUUUCUUUUUCCCAGUCUUCUCCUCCCUGAUCUUCUUUUCCCUAAACGUCUUCUUCCUAGUCUCCUGGUCUUCUUGUCCCUGAUCUUCUCUGAUAUUCUUUUCCUAAACUUCUCCUCC